GCCCUCUUAGCUCAGUCGGUAGAGCAUUUCCAUGGUAAGGAAAAGGUCGUGGGUUCGAUUCCCACAGAGGGCU
rnacentral:tRNA from 1 species